GUCUGUGACUGACUGUCUGCUAGGAUCUGAUUGUCAUUGUCAAUACUGGUCAAUGUGUUGCCGUCACGUUUUGACAGUUUGGGCCGAAUUUUUGACGUUUUGACACUCACUCACUCAGGCCCGGGCCUGCUCAUCGAACGUCAUCGAUCAACUGGGGUCCUAAUCCAACCAAUCAACAAAGCAGCAUGAAAGUUGGUCAACCCAUUGUUCAAGUUCUACGAAGACAGAGCCUUAAGCCUACACAUUUGCCCCAGCAGCUGUUGAUCUUACUCCCAACAAAAGAAGGUGGUGUUUCAAAAGAAAUCAAACAGGUGGGAACUGGCAAGGAGCAGCUCAGUCCAGCUAGUCCACACACGUGACGCAUGAAGCUUGAUUCCAGUCAGGACAGAGGGGAGAAAUUCAAAUUCAAGCAAAGGUAGUGUAAAAAAGACAUGCAAGACCCUACUGGAGUAAAUACCAUUGAAGUGUGCAGUCUUGUCUUGUUAAUCCAAUUAUGCUUACGGUGAAAAUGGAAGUCCACCUAAAAAUUCCUCUUAAAUGCCACAUUGCUGAUGUUUGAGGUUGGAAGAUAGAAGAUCUCCCUAAAGCAAGUGAUGGAGGGAUUAUAAAUCAAACCUUAAAGUUAUUCAAAUCCUAUAAUGAAAAGGUGCUUGUUGCUGAAGUUUCACUGGUCGGUCGACACGCGGAGACACGGUAUUUGAUCAACCUGAGUUUAGCUUCUACCUUGGAGAAGAUUUAGAACAUUCAUUCAUUCAACGAACAUUCCCGACGGUGAUGAAUAGGCUCUGUUGAAAUUCAAGAAGCAAGAUAGGAGCUUGCUUAAGUUGACACCUGCAUACGGUUUCGGCUCUGCCGGUAACGAGAAACAAGGUGUUUUACCCAACGUCAACCCCGAAUACGAGGUUGAACUCAAGAGCUUUGAAAAGGCCAAAGAGAGCUGGAGGAUGGACGCCGAAGAAAAAGCUGGAGAAGGCUCUAAACUCUGUAAGGAAAAGAAAUCAAUCAUUUUAAAACUGCCAAAUACGCUCUGGCUAACAAACAGUAGGCCUACUUCCAAGAUUGUCACCCUCCUCGAGUUUGAAAAAACUCUUAAAGACGAGAAAGCUAAGGAGCAAGAACAGCUCAUGCUGGCAGCAUGCCUCAAUCAGGUCAUGUGCUGUUUAAAGUUAAACGAUUUCUGUGCAACUCGUGAUCAUUGCCACAAGGCGCUUGAGAUGGACCGCCCGAAAAAUGAAAAGGGAUUAUUCCGCAUCAUGGGCCAAGCACUUUAGGGCAUUCACGUGCCGGAUGAAGCCAAGAAACAUUUCGAGGCGAUUCUCCAAUUUGAUUCGAACAACAAGGCGGCCGCCAAUCAAGUGGUGAUCUGCAACGCCAAGAUUCGCGAGCAACGCGAAAAGGACAAGAAAUUGUACUCUAGCAUUUUCAACAAGGUGGUCGAAAAACGAUCGACAGAAAGCCUUGCGGAACAAGGCGAUGGAAAUGCCGGAACCGACGCAGUGGGACAAUGAAGACUCGGAGAACACGACCGCCGUUGAAUUGCAAGAUCCUUUGGACUCUGUGCCAUGUAUAGAGUCGGAUGAAAACUAAUCUUGAUUAUCGUCAUUGUGAUUCCCGACCCAUUUUUUUGAAAUUUAAUUACCCAGAAUUGAUUGUGUUUUUUUGCAUGCCUGUUCUCUCUGUUGUUAUAACACAACAACUUCUAAACCAAAACAGUACUAAGGACAUAUUCAAUUGAUUGUGUAAUUAUCGACUGCCCUCAAUCGCAAAACACAUCUCAUCUUUAUCAAAUAAAAGUGGUGAAUUUGA
rnacentral:lncRNA from 1 species